UGCGGAGUAACUUCAGAUGGUCAGAAUGUUGGGCUCAUAUCCCGACACGCGCAGGUUCGAGUCCUGCCUCCGCCU
rnacentral:tRNA from 2 species